rnacentral:lncRNA from 1 species
AUCCUCCUGCUUCUGCCUCCUGAGUGCUGGGGUUUCAGGAGUGCACUACCACACCUGGCUAAUCCAUUCAUUUUUUUACUUCUUGUUUUCCCUUUUUCUCCCCCAUGCAGUUAUCACACCACCUUUCAUAACCUUCUUUUGCAACUAAAGGUUGGAAGGGAAGCAUUUCGCAUUCUGAUGGAUCCUUCCAAAGCACAGGAAUGGCUCCAUACACCACACCAUGGAUUUCCAGCAAAGCUAAAAUGCUCCCUGCAGAGCCCUGGACAUCCAGGACAUCCCGCCAGAGCCUGCUGGGGAUGCUCACAUUGACAUCUGAGCUUGAUCUCUCACUGCCAGCCCACUCUGCAUGACUAUUGGGUGCUCAGCCUAGAGAACUGAGAAGCAGAGUUCUGUCCACCUCAGGAGCUGUGGCUUCUCUCCUCCACCGGAGAAGCAGAGAAAAUAAAGAGCCAGUGGGAUCCACCAGCAAAUGCUCUGCUGUGCAACUCCUGCGCCCUCAACACAAACCAACCUGAGCUGGCUGUGGACAGAGCAUGUGAGCAACAGGUUCCUGAGACAUCACUCACCCUUCCUGGCUUCUGAUGGGCAGCCACCAUUCCCCACUGCUCAGAGAAAGAAUGCCUCUCCAGCAUCUGGUAGUUUUCUUCAAGGUCACUUCAUGGGCCAAGUUGAUGAAAAAAGAUCCAGCCAUCACACCAGCAUUCCAGGCUGGAAGCACAAAGGAGGCUGCUCUUCCCAGUUGCACAGACUUCCCAGCAUUUCCAUAGAACAAUUCACUUCCAUUCCACUGGCCAGGAGCAGUCAUACCAUUACUUUUAACUGCGAGGCAGAAAAGUCAAUAAAGAUUUUAGCUGGUGCCUUUUGUCCUGACUGAAGAAACCAGGGAUCUGUAAUGGAGGAGAAAAUGAGAAUAAAGGGUGAUGUUGACAUCCACUGUGUCUACUGCAAGAUCCCCUAUGUGCUGUGGGUUGCAGAGCCAUGGCCUGGGUCCUGGUCACCAUGACAGUUGCUCCUAGAGCACCUGCCUGUUAGGAGCAUGGCCAGCCACCUGGACCUCAGUUCUGCAGAUCAGAGAAGAGGAAGAGCCAGUGACCCCACUGUCACCCCACUUUGCACUUGGACCUGCUUUCUUGUGAUGCACCAACAGUAGCAUGAUACCCAGGGUGCGCAGGUACAGCCAGUGCCAUUCAGGGCUGAUGUGAGAAAGCUUCCAGGAGCCUUGGCUGCAGACUGAACUUCCCAGAAUGGGGUAACCCCUGCCAGGUGACCUGGGAUGAAACCAAAGCUAUAAGGAAGUAGACACUGCCCAAACAGACCCAUUUUCCCUGAAAAUAGGAGACGCGCAACACCCAGCCAAAAAGUGCCCUGUCUGCCUGAGUGAGCCUGUGGGGGAAGUUCCCUCAUGAGAAGCUGCCUAUUGGGAUCUGAUGUUAACUAAUCCUUCUCAAGCUGUUCUGCUUCCUUGUUUCACCUUGAUAAAAUCAAUCUUUCUGCCACACCAAACUGAAUACUCAUUCUAUUUUAUUCAAGAAUCUUGAAUAAAACCACAAACAGUGAUGCAGGCCUGUAAUCCCAGCACUCUGGGAGACUGAGGGGUGGACUACAAGUCUGAGCCUAAUCUGGGCAAUUUAGGGACUUAGUGAGACUCUGUCACAAAAUAAAAAAUGAAAAGAGUUGAGGAUGUAGCUCAGGGCAAAAACCCUGAGUUUAAUCCCCAGAAUCACAAAGGAAAAAAAAUGUUUCUCGAUAAAAGCCAAUUUAGUCUUUAAAAUGUUGCAGUUUUGUCUUUUGACAC